AUGACCAACACAUGCAAGUCGAACGGCAGCACGGGCUUCGGCCUGGUGGCGAGUGGCGAACGGGUGAGUAAUACAUCGGAACGUGCCCUGUAGUGGGGGAUAACUAGUCGAAAGAUUAGCUAAUACCGCAUAUCGACCUGAGGGUGAAUAGGCGGGGGACCGSAUAGGCUCGUCCGUCGCCGUGACCGAGAGGACGCCUGGCCAGGCACUGAUUUGGUGGUACUGACAUCGCCGUGACGUUUGGUGUGGUUGGGGUGGGAGGUGAGAUACACGACACGUCACCUCACACGAGACAGACACGACUGCAUCCUGGCGUCGGCGCGCGGGAUCGCUGAAAAAGAAGCGUAACUGCAUCGCAGGGACCCCAGCGUAGGCGGAGGGAGACAUAAGCAAUGAGAAACCGGAAGCCGAGGCCGCAACCACCAACCGCCAAAUCUUUAAUCCCUGUCGACGCUGGAGCGCGGAAAGGGGGCCCGCAGGCCCAAGGGCUGGGGGUGGAGGAAGAGUAUAUUUUGAUGCGAAGCCGAAAACGUGGGAGGUGGGGGGGCGGACGCAGAACCCACCCACACCGUACAGACAAAUAUGACA
rnacentral:rRNA from 1 species